UACAAGAUCCCAUCCGAAUUCUAUAGUU
rnacentral:rRNA from 1 species